rnacentral:rRNA from 1 species
UACGUAGGGCGCAAGCGUUGUCCGGAAUUAUUGGGCGUAAAGAGCUCGUAGGCGGUUUGUCGCGUCUGUCGUGAAAGCUUGGGGCUUAACCCCAAGUCUGCGGUGGAUACGAGCAGACUAGAGGCAGGUAGGGGAGAACGGAAUUCCCGGUGUAGCGGUGAAAUGCGCAGAUAUCGGGAGGAACACCGGUGGCGAAGGCGGUUCUCUGGGCCUGUACUGACGCUGAGGAGCGAAAGCGUGGGUAGCAAACAGG